GGUAAGUCAGAGCAUCUGACAUGUAGCCCAGGUCAGCCAUAGCACCCAACCUCUUACCCAGGUCAGCAAGAACGCCCAACAUUUAGACACCAUCAGCCAAAGGACCCAAUGUCUAGCCCAGGUCAGUUUGAGCCCACAGCAUCUAACCCAGGUCAACCGUAGCACUCGGCAUCUAACCUAGGUCAAGCGUAGCACCCGGCAUCUAACCAGGUCAAGCGUAGCACCCGGCAUCUAACCCAGGUCAACCGUAGCACCCGGCAUCUAACCCAGGUCAACCAGACCGCCUAACGUUUAUCCCAGGUCUGUCAUAGCACUCUCUCUUUAGCCCAGGUCAUUCAGAAGACCCAACAUAUAGCCAAGGUUAACCAUGCCACCGGACAUCUAGCUACAACUUUAAAUGAACUUUGAUUUUUUUUUUUUGUAUUUGUUGGUCCUUCGAGAGGCCUUGAUAUACAUACACAUCCCUGAUAUCUAUUUUGUUGCUAUUAUAUACCCGUGUCUAUACAUAUAUAAGUGUUGGCACAUUGCUGUUAUUUACUCUUGUGGGUGGAUGGUUUGCUGGACACCUUGCUGCUGUUAUAAAUGCUGGUGGUUAGCAAGUGUGGCUGUAGGUUUAGUUGGGUUUGUAGAGUUAUUUAUUGUGUGGUGUAGCUUAUUUGCAGCUUUAGCUAUUUGCUUAAUUCUGCAGCUCUCAUCCCAGUGCUGCUUCAGCCCAGCUUUCAAAACCAUCACGACCACUGCUGGUCCCAACAAAUGAAGAAAAAAAGAAGUCUGUGCUCAACAUGCUGAAAGAAAUAGUUCUGGACCAUUGCUUACUAUUUUAGUGCAGUGAUUUUUGUUUGUGCUGUACAGUUAGUGCUUUCAUUUGAGCAAUAUUUUUAUUAUUAUUUUUUAUUUCAUUUUCUAUAUAUACAUUUAAUAAGCAUUGCAUUUGUGAGAAACGCUAGUAUUUUUUAUUUAUUUUUUUUUUUUUUUUGGGUAAGCUUUGCCUGUUUUGUAAUUAAGUUUGUUUAUUUGAAUUUGAAAUAUUUUUAUAUGUCAUAUCCAUACCCUAUUAAUGAACUAUUCAAUGUGCAGCAGGCUCCCAAAAAAACAAUAAAACCUUUAGUAAUCACACCAAUAUCUACUGUAUUUUACAGACAUAUUAUAAGGCACACUAUUAAUGAAGGGCUAUUUUCAUGCAUAAGACACAUUUUAUGUAACACUAGUAAGGAACAAGGUUUAUCUUUAUUAAUUUAGCAGGUAUCGUCGCUUUUCAAUAUGGUAGCGUGGUUAGCAGCAGCACUAGCCGUGGUUAGCAGCAGCACUUAGCACUAGUAAACGCCGUCCGACAGCACUACACUGAGGAACUCUGAGUGUUCCGGUAAGCCAGGGCGAUAUCCGCUAGCGAUUCGUCCCACGUAGCUUGUUUUAACACGGUAAACAUGCAGACUACAGUCCAAUAAUACUCACCACUGAAUGGGGAAAGAGCUAGCGCUUAGCGUGGUUAGUGGCUAAUGCUUAUGCUGCUCCAGCAGUGCUAGCUGGGCUUAGCAACAGGCUACAUUCUGAUAAUACUCACCUAAAUGGGAAGGGAGCUAGCGCUUAGUGUGCUAAUGCUGCUCCAGCCUCUGUGCUGAAAAACUAAACUGAAACUCCUGUAUAACUCUGUACUUUAGCAGAGUGGCUUCAUGCUCCUUAAUACCGGAGUAUUUUAAGUGCACCUUAUAGUUCAAUUACUAUUUUAAAUAUAUAUUUUGUUUAAUACAUUUACUCAUAUUUUUAUUGUUUAAAUAAGCACUGUGUUCUUCCAGCAUGUUGCUAUCAGGCCUUUUUU